rnacentral:rRNA from 1 species
UGGGGAAUUUUGGACAAUGGGCGCAAGCCUGAUCCGGCCAUGCCGCGUGUGGGAAGAAGGCCUUCGGGUUGUAAACCACUUUUGUCAGGGAAGAAACGGUCCGAUCUAAUAAAUUGGACUAAUGAUGGUACCUGAAGAAUAAGCACCGGCUAACUACGUGCCAGCAGCCGCGGUAAUACGUAGGGUGCAAGCGUUAAUCGGAAUUACUGGGCGUAAAGCGUGCGCAGGCGGCUUUGCAAGACAGAUGUGAAAUCCCCGGGCUCAACCUGGGAACUGCAUUUGUGACUGCAUGGCUAGAGUACGGUAGAGGGGGAUGGAAUUCCGCGUGUAGCAGUGAAAUGCGUAGAUAUGCGGAGGAACACCGAUGGCGAAGGCAAUCCCCCUGGGUUAACACUGACGCCCAUGCACGAAAGCGUGGGGAGCAAACAGGAUUAGAUACCCCCGUAGUCCCUGAGCGGGCUGGCAAGGCGCAU